AACCCAGUGUGUUUCGACACACUAUCAUUAACUGAAUCCAUAGGUUAAUGAGGCGAACCGGGGGAACUGAAACAUCUAAGUACCCCGAGGAAAAGAAAUCAACCGAGAUUCCCCCAGUAGCGGCGAGCGAACGGGGAGGAGCCCAGAGCCUGAAUCAGUGUGUGUGUUAGUGGAAGCGUCUGGAAAGGCGCGCGAUACAGGGUGACAGCCCCGUACACAAAAAUGCACAUAUUGUGAGCUCGAUGAGUAGGGCGGGACACGUGGUAUCCUGUCUGAAUAUGGGGGGACCAUCCUCCAAGGCUAAAUACUCCUGACUGACCGAUAGUGAACCAGUACCGUGAGGGAAAGGCGAAAAGAACCCCGGCGAGGGGAGUGAAAAAGAACCUGAAACCGUGUACGUACAAGCAGUGGGAGCCUCUUUAUGGGGUGACUGCGUACCUUUUGUAUAAUGGGUCAGCGACUUAUAUUCUGUAGCAAGGUUAACCGAAUAGGGGAGCCGAAGGGAAACCGAGUCUUAACUGGGCGUUAAGUUGCAGGGUAUAGACCCGAAACCCGGUGAUCUAGCCAUGGGCAGGUUGAAGGUUGGGUAACACUAACUGGAGGACCGAACCGACUAAUGUUGAAAAAUUAGCGGAUGACUUGUGGCUGGGGGUGAAAGGCCAAUCAAACCGGGAGAUAGCUGGUUCUCCCCGAAAGCUAUUUAGGUAGCGCCUCGUGAAUUCAUCUCCGGGGGUAGAGCACUGUUUCGGCAAGGGGGUCAUCCCGACUUACCAACCCGAUGCAAACUGCGAAUACCGGAGAAUGUUAUCACGGGAGACACACGGCGGGUGCUAACGUCCGUCGUGAAGAGGGAAACAACCCAGACCGCCAGCUAAGGUCCCAAAGUCAUGGUUAAGUGGGAAACGAUGUGGGAAGGCCCAGACAGCCAGGAUGUUGGCUUAGAAGCAGCCAUCAUUUAAAGAAAGCGUAAUAGCUCACUGGUCGAGUCGGCCUGCGCGGAAGAUGUAACGGGGCUAAACCAUGCACCGAAGCUGCGGCAGCGACACUAUGUGUUGUUGGGUAGGGGAGCGUUCUGUAAGCCUGUGAAGGUGGCCUGUGAGGGUUGCUGGAGGUAUCAGAAGUGCGAAUGCUGACAUAAGUAACGAUAAAGCGGGUGAAAAGCCCGCUCGCCGGAAGACCAAGGGUUCCUGUCCAACGUUAAUCGGGGCAGGGUGAGUCGACCCCUAAGGCGAGGCCGAAAGGCGUAGUCGAUGGGAAACAGGUUAAUAUUCCUGUACUUGGUGUUACUGCGAAGGGGGGACGGAGAAGGCUAUGUUGGCCGGGCGACGGUUGUCCCGGUUUAAGCGUGUAGGCUGGUUUUCCAGGCAAAUCCGGAAAACCAAGGCUGAGGCGUGAUGACGAGGCACUACGGUGCUGAAGCGACAAAUGCCCUGCUUCCAGGAAAAGCCUCUAAGCAUCAGGUAACAUCAAAUCGUACCCCAAACCGACACAGGUGGUCAGGUAGAGAAUACCAAGGCGCUUGAGAGAACUCGGGUGAAGGAACUAGGCAAAAUGGUGCCGUAACUUCGGGAGAAGGCACGCUGAUAUGUAGGUGAAGCGACUUGCUCGUGGAGCUGAAAUCAGUCGAAGAUACCAGCUGGCUGCAACUGUUUAUUAAAAACACAGCACUGUGCAAACACGAAAGUGGACGUAUACGGUGUGACGCCUGCCCGGUGCCGGAAGGUUAAUUGAUGGGGUUAGCGGUAACGCGAAGCUCUUGAUCGAAGCCCCGGUAAACGGCGGCCGUAACUAUAACGGUCCUAAGGUAGCGAAAUUCCUUGUCGGGUAAGUUCCGACCUGCACGAAUGGCGUAAUGAUGGCCAGGCUGUCUCCACCCGAGACUCAGUGAAAUUGAACUCGCUGUGAAGAUGCAGUGUACCCGCGGCAAGACGGAAAGACCCCGUGAACCUUUACUAUAGCUUGACACUGAACAUUGAGCCUUGAUGUGUAGGAUAGGUGGGAGGCUUUGAAGUGUGGACGCCAGUCUGCAUGGAGCCGACCUUGAAAUACCACCCUUUAAUGUUUGAUGUUCUAACGUUGGCCCGUAAUCCGGGUUGCGGACAGUGUCUGGUGGGUAGUUUGACUGGGGCGGUCUCCUCCUAAAGAGUAACGGAGGAGCACGAAGGUUGGCUAAUCCUGGUCGGACAUCAGGAGGUUAGUGCAAUGGCAUAAGCCAGCUUGACUGCGAGCGUGACGGCGCGAGCAGGUGCGAAAGCAGGUCAUAGUGAUCCGGUGGUUCUGAAUGGAAGGGCCAUCGCUCAACGGAUAAAAGGUACUCCGGGGAUAACAGGCUGAUACCGCCCAAGAGUUCAUAUCGACGGCGGUGUUUGGCACCUCGAUGUCGGCUCAUCACAUCCUGGGGCUGAAGUAGGUCCCAAGGGUAUGGCUGUUCGCCAUUUAAAGUGGUACGCGAGCUGGGUUUAGAACGUCGUGAGACAGUUCGGUCCCUAUCUGCCGUGGGCGCUGGAGAACUGAGGGGGGCUGCUCCUAGUACGAGAGGACCGGAGUGGACGCAUCACUGGUGUUCGGGUUGUCAUGCCAAUGGCACUGCCCGGUAGCUAAAUGCGGAAGAGAUAAGUGCUGAAAGCAUCUAAGCACGAAACUUGCCCCGAGAUGAGUUCUCCCUGAGACUUAGAGUCUCCUGAAGGAACGUUGAAGACGACGACGUUGAUAGGCCGGGUGUGUAAGCGCAGCGAUGCGUUGAGCUAACCGGUACUAAUGAACCGUGAGGCUUAACCUU
rnacentral:rRNA from 2 species